rnacentral:rRNA from 1 species
UACGGAGGGUGCAAGCGUUGCUCGGAAUUAUUGGGCGUAAAGGGUAGGUAGGUGGUCUUAUUUGUCUGGGGUGAAAGCCUUGAGCUUAACUCAAGAAGUGCCCCAGAAACGGUGAGACUAGAGUCUUGGAGAGGGUCGUGGAAUUCCCGGUGUAGCGGUGAAAUGCGUAGAGAUCGGGAGGAACAUCAGAGGCGAAGGCGGCGACCUGGACAAGUACUGACACUCAACUACGAAAGCGUGGGGAGCAAACAGG